CUGAUGAAGCACUCUAGUCUGGCAGCCUUGGAAGGUGCAUCUCAGGCUUUCCUAGCAGGUUUCUGAGCAGAGAGACAACUUCAGAUGAAGAUAUGGAGAGAUCAAGGACAAGCCUGAUCACUGGAGAAAGAGGCUUAGGGGAAAAUCAUGAGCUCUCAACUCACCAGUGUCUCUCGCUGAAUCCAUCUCGACUGACUGGCCAGCAAUCUUAGGAGAUUUCACCUUUAGAAAUUAUUAACCUCCCUGGUGCCAACAUGCUGAGGACCACAGGCUGCCUACUUGGAGACUCUCAAAGCUCUCCUCCCUCCUCUAGUGAAUGUGGCAUCAGGAGCCACUCUGUUAUAAGAUGCAAGAGUUUGGCCUAACCCUCCAACUCCUUCUCUGCAAGAUGAACUAGUACCAAAUAGGACCAUCAAAAGCCAGGCCAGCCUGCAGCACGGAGAACUGGAAAGCUCAGCUGGUAUCGAUUGGUAUUUCAGCUUGUCUAUGGGAGACCUUUGCUUUGCCAAGGGCACUGGGUGUGCAGAUCUGUAAAUCUGGGCCCCAGGAGAAGCAGACAUUAUUUUAUUUCCUAAAGGCCUUGAUGUUUCUCAAACGAAUGUUUAAAAGGUCCAUACUUCCUCCUGAAGCUUCUUCACGAGGAGGUGAAUUUUAGAGAAAACAAAGGCCUGGGGGUGGGGUGGAUGUCCCCAAAAAGCUGGUUUCAGCAGCUCUUUUCCGUGCUUUGCUGAGCGUGAGGAUUUUGUAACCUCCUUUUACAGGCUUUCUUCUCCAGUUCCCCAAGUGUAUCAGGCUAGCUGUUUAUAGGUCUUGCUCUCGCAUUUUUUGCAUGUCCAAUUCGUCCAGGUAUUGAACAUCUCUCAUUUUUGGU